rnacentral:ncRNA from 1 species
AUUUUACGCCGAAGCCUGCCCGUCUAAGUCCUCGUGAUAUGAUGCUCAGGCCGCAUCAGCAGAUGCCGGGUUCUGCCGGAAACGGUCGGGCCUCCCGCGCUCGGAAAGGUGUACA